GAUGAACGCUGGCUGCGUGCCUAAUACAUGCAAGUCGAGCGAACAGAUAAGGAGCUUGCUCCUUUGACGUUAGCGGCGGACGGGUGAGUAACACGUGGGUAACCUACCUAUAAGACUGGGAUAACUUCGGGAAACCGGAGCUAAUACCGGAUAAUAUUUCGAACCGCAUGGUUCGAUAGUGAAAGAUGGUUUUGCUAUCACUUAUAGAUGGACCCGCGCCGUAUUAGCUAGUUGGUAAGGUAACGGCUUACCAAGGCGACGAUCCGUAGCCGACCUGAGAGGGUGAUCGGCCACACUGGAACUGAGACACGGUCCAGACUCCUACGGGAGGCAGCAGUAGGGAAUCUUCCGCAAUGGGCGAAAGCCUGACGGAGCAACGCCGCGUGAGUGAUGAAGGUCAUCGGAUCGUAAAACUCUGUUAUUAGGGAAGAACAUACGUGUAAGUAACUGUGCACGUCUUGACGGUACCUAAUCAGAAAGCCACGGCUAACUACGUG
rnacentral:rRNA from 1 species